AGGAAAGGGGGGGGGGUGCUUAACACAUGCAAGUCGAACGGAAAGGCCUCUUUCGGGGGGUACUCGAGUGGCGAACGGGUGAGUAACACGUGAGUAACCUGCCCUUGACUUUGGGAUAACUUCAGGAAACUGGGGCUAAUACCGGAUAGGAGCUCCUGCUGCAUGGUGGGGGUUGGAAAGUUUCGGCGGUUGGGGAUGGACUCGCGGCUUAUCAGCUUGUUGGUGGGGUAGUGGCUUACCAAGGCUUUGACGGGUAGCCGGCCUGAGAGGGUGACCGGCCACAUUGGGACUGAGAUACGGCCCAGACUCCUACGGGAGGCAGCAGUGGGGAAUAUUGCACAAUGGGUGGAAGCCUGAUGCAGCAACGCCGUGUGCGGGAUGACGGCCUCCGGGUUGUAAACCGCUUUCGCUCAUGACGAAGCUUUGUGUGACGGUAGUGGGUAAAGAAGCACCGGCUAACUACGU
rnacentral:rRNA from 1 species